GAAAAUCAAGGCUGAGGCGUGAUGACGAGGCACUACGGUGCUGAAGCAACAAAUGCCCUGCUUCCAGGAAAAGCCUCUAAGCAUCAGGUAACAUCAAAUCGUACCCCAAACCGACACAGGUGGUCAGGUAGAGAAUACCAAGGCGCUUGAGAGAACUCGGGUGAAGGAACUAGGCAAAAUGGUGCCGUAACUUCGGGAGAAGGCACGCUGAUAUGUAGGUGAAGCGACUUGCUCGUGGAGCUGAAAUCAGUCGAAGAUACCAGCUGGCUGCAACUGUUUAUUAAAAACACAGCACUGUGCAAACACGAAAGUGGACGUAUACGGUGUGACGCCUGCCCGGUGCCGGAAGGUUAAUUGAUGGGGUUAGCGGUAACGCGAAGCUCUUGAUCGAAGCCCCGGUAAACGGCGGCCGUAACUAUAACGGUCCUAAGGUAGCGAAAUUCCUUGUCGGGUAAGUUCCGACCUGCACGAAUGGCGUAAUGAUGGCCAGGCUGUCUCCACCCGAGACUCAGUGAAAUUGAACUCGCUGUGAAGAUGCAGUGUACCCGCGGCAAGACGGAAAGACCCCGUGAACCUUUACUAUAGCUUGACACUGAACAUUGAGCCUUGAUGUGUAGGAUAGGUGGGAGGCUUUGAAGUGUGGACGCCAGUCUGCAUGGAGCCGACCUUGAAAUACCACCCUUUAAUGUUUGAUGUUCUAACGUUGGCCCGUUAUCCGGGUUGCGGACAGUGUCUGGUGGGUAGUUUGACUGGGGCGGUCUCCUCCUAAAGAGUAACGGAGGAGCACGAAGGUUGGCUAAUCCUGGUCGGACAUCAGGAGGUUAGUGCAAUGGCAUAAGCCAGCUUGACUGCGAGCGUGACGGCGCGAGCAGGUGCGAAAGCAGGUCAUAGUGAUCCGGUGGUUCUGAAUGGAAGGGCCAUCGCUCAACGGAUAAAAGGUACUCCGGGGAUAACAGGCUGAUACCGCCCAAGAGUUCAUAUCGACGGCGGUGUUUGGCACCUCGAUGUCGGCUCAUCACAUCCUGGGGCUGAAGUAGGUCCCAAGGGUAUGGCUGUUCGCCAUUUAAAGUGGUACGCGAGCUGGGUUUAGAACGUCGUGAGACAGUUCGGUCCCUAUCUGCCGUGGGCGCUGGAGAACUGAGGGGGGCUGCUCCUAGUACGAGAGGACCGGAGUGGACGCAUCACUGGUGUUCGGGUUGUCAUGCCAAUGGCACUGCCCGGUAGCUAAAUGCGGAAGAGAUAAGUGCUGAAAGCAUCUAAGCACGAAACUUGCC
rnacentral:rRNA from 1 species